rnacentral:rRNA from 1 species
AUUGAACGCUGGCGGCAGGCUUAACACAUGCAAGUCGAGCGGAGUGAUGGUGCUUGCACUAUUACUUAGCGGCGGACGGGUGAGUAAUGCUUAGGAAUCUGCCAUUUAGUGGGGGACAACAUUCCGAAAGGAAUGCUAAUACCGCAUACGUCCUACGGGAGAAAGCAGGGGAUCUUCGGACCUUGCGCUAAAUGAUGAGCCUAAGUCGGAUUAGCUAGUUGGUGGGGUAAAGGCCUACCAAGGCGACGAUCUGUAGCGGGUCUGAGAGGAUGAUCCGCCACACUGGGACUGAGACACGGCCCAGACUCCUACGGGAGGCAGCAGUGGGGAAUAUUGGACAAUGGGCGGAAGCCUGAUCCAGCCAUGCCGCGUGUGUGAAGAAGGCCUUUUGGUUGUAAAGCACUUUAAGCGUGGAGGAGGCUCUCCUAGUUAAUACCUAGGAAGAGUGGACGUUACUCGCAGAAUAAGCACCGGCUAACUCUGUGCCAGCAGCCGCCGCCGUA